UACGAGGGGUGCAAGCGUUGCUCGGAAUUAUUGGGCGUAAAGGGUAGGUAGGUGGUCUCAUUUGUCUGGGGUGAAAGCCUUGAGCUUAACUCAAGAAGUGCCCCAGAAACGGUGAGACUCGAGUACUGGAGAGGGUCGUGGAAUUCCCGGUGUAGCGGUGAAAUGCGUAGAGAUCGGGAGGAACACCAGUGGCGAAGGCGGCUCUUUGGUCUGUAACUGACGCUGAGGCGCGAAAGCGUGGGGAGCAAACAGG
rnacentral:rRNA from 1 species